CCUAACGGGAGGCAGCAGUGAGGAAUAUUGGUCAAUGGGCGGGAGCCUGAACCAGCCAAGUCGCGUGAGGGAAGACGGUCCUACGGAUUGUAAACCUCUUUUGCCGGGGAGCAACGGGGUCCUUGCGAGGGCCCAAUGAGAGUACCCGAAGAAAAAGCAUCGGCUAACUCCGUGCCAGCAGCCGCGGUAAUACGGAGGAUGCGAGCGUUAUCCGGAUUUAUUGGGUUUAAAGGGUGCGUAGGCGGACAGUCAAGUCAGCGGUAAAAAUGCGGUGCUCAACGCCGUACAGCCGUUGAAACUGGCAGUCUUGAGUGGGCGAGAAGUAUGCGGAAUGCGUGGUGUAGCGGUGGAAUGCAUAGAUAUCACGCAGAACUCCGAUUGCGAAGGCAGCAUACCGGCGCCCGACUGACGCUGAGGCACGAAAGCGUGGGUAUCGAACAGGAUUAGAUACCCGAGUAGUC
rnacentral:rRNA from 1 species